UUCCCUCUCUUUCCUUUCACUUUAUUCUUUCCUAUUUGCUAUGAUUCAUUGAACCUGGUCACUAUUGACCAAGCUUACCAUACCUCCUUGUUGUCCAUACCAUUCAUUUACCCUCAUUCUCACAUUUUUUUCAUUUUUUACUCCUCCAUUUCUCUCAACCUGAAAAUAACAACCACCACCUUCAACCACCACAUAAAAUUCCUCCACAUCAAGCUCUACCUUCAC
rnacentral:lncRNA from 1 species